UACGUAGGGGGCAAGCGUUGUCCGGAUUUAUUGGGCGUAAAGAGCGUGUAGGCGGCCACACAGGUCAGCUGUGAAAACUCGAGGCUCAACCUCGAGACGUCGGUUGAAACCGUAUGGCUAGAGUCCGGAAGAGGAGAGUGGAAUUCCCGGUGUAGCGGUGAAAUGCGCAGAUAUCGGGAAGAACACCGGUGGCGAAGGCGGGUCUCUGGGCAGUAACUGACGCUGAGGAGCGAAAGCGUGGGGAGCGAACAGG
rnacentral:rRNA from 1 species